rnacentral:rRNA from 1 species
GAUGAACGCUGGCGGCGUGCCUAAUACAUGCAAGUCGAGCGAACGGACGAGAAGCUUGCUUCUCUGAUGUUAGCGUCGGACGGGUGAGUAACACGUGGAUAACCUACCUAUAAGACUGGGAUAACUUCGGGAAACCGGAGCUAAUACCGGAUAAUAUUUUGAACCGCAUGGUUCAAAAGUGAAAGACGGUCUUGCUGUCACUUAUAGAUGGAUCCGCGCUGCAUUAGCUAGUUGGUAAGGUAACGGCUUACCAAGGCAACGAUGCAUAGCCGACCUGAGAGGGUGAUCGGCCACACUGGAACUGAGACACGGUCCAGACUCCUACGGGUGGCAGCAGUAGGGAAUCUUCCGCAAUGGGCGAAAGCCUGACGGAGCAACGCCGCGUGAGUGAUGAAGGUCUUCGGAUCGUAAAACUCUGUCAUUAGGGAAGAACAUAUGUGUAAGUAACUGUGCACAUCUUGACGGUACCUAAUCAGAAAGCCACGGCUAACUACGUG